CUUCGCUGCACAACCUCAACCUCAACUCAUGGCCACCUCACUCCGGACUUUCUUCCACUUCCGCAAUCAUGGCCGUUGACCAGAAACUCACCACUGCACCGCCAAUUUUCCGGUUGCCCCAUCCGGUUACCUCCUUCCCUCAACACCUCGGAAUAUCACCGGCCUUAUUCGACGCGGCCUGUACCUCCAGUAAGAUUUUGGAUCGAUCUCAUCUUGAUCUACAACACGUGUUCACUUAUCCACUUAAUUUGAGUCCUCUAGACGAAGACAACAAAAGAAGCAAUUUUGGACAUCCUUGCGACCCAUUAUAUUCCCCCAACCAUGUCCGGUGAUCUCAACGAUCAUUGGCCAACUUUUUUUAAAGAAUAUGUCCAUAAGUUGAAGUCCCUUUCUUUUCAUCGGGAGCAGAUAAAUCUUCACCAGAUACGAUACUGGAAUCGUGAAAAAGGCGUUAAGAGUUAGGGUUACUGACGUUUUUGGCGAAUUUCAGGUAAUCCUGAUGAUAUGUGAUUUGAUGGUCAGACUGGAGUAGUCAUGGCGCUCUUACAGGCAUUUUGAGUUACCGUGUACAUAGAUGACGACCUGCGGGCAAGACCGUGGCUUGUUUUGCUUCCGUUGUUCCAUAUUACGUCUGUUUUAAAAGUUGUAUGGUGUUGUUAUAAAGAGUAUGUCGAUUGUGUAGUUUUUGAUAUGGUUUGAGAUUCUUUUGGUGAAUGUUAACAGGUUACUGUUGAGUUA